rnacentral:tRNA from 1 species
GCCGAUGUAGUUCAGUGGUAGAACAUCAGCUUCCCAAGCUGAGAAUGCGGGUUCGAUUCCCGUCAUCGGCU